GAUGUCUUAUUUCUAGAGAUAGAAGUUACUUCGGUACAUCGGUGACAGGUUGGUGCAUGGUUGUCGUCAGCUCGUGUCGUGAGAUGUUGGGUUAAGUCCCGCAACGAGCGCAACCCCUAUUGUUAGUUGCCAUCAUUCAGUUGGGCACUCUAGCGAGACUGCCGGUAAUAAACCGGAGGAAGGUGGGGAUGACGUCAAAUCAUCAUGCCCCUUAUGACCUGGGCUACACACGUGCUACAAUGGUUGGUACAACGAGUUGCGAGUCGGUGACGGCGAGCUAAUCUCUUAAAGCCAAUCUCAGUUCGGAUUGUAGGCUGCAACUCGCCUACAUGAAGUCGGAAUCGCUAGUAAUCGCGGAUCAGCAUGCCGUGGUGAAUACGUUCCCAGGCCUU
rnacentral:rRNA from 1 species